rnacentral:rRNA from 1 species
CCUACGGGAGGCAGCAGUGGGGAAUAUUGGACAAUGGGGGGAACCCUGAUCCAGCCAUGCCACGUGUGUGAAGAAGGUCCUCGGGUUGUAAAGCACUUUCAGUGAGGAAGAACGCCUGGUGGUUAAUACCCAUCAGGAAAGACAUCACUCACAGAAGAAGCACCGGCUAACUCCGUGCCAGCAGCCGCGGUAAUACGGAGGGUGCGAGCGUUAAUCGGAAUUACUGGGCGUAAAGCGCGCGUAGGUGGCUUGAUAAGCCGGUUGUGAAAGCCCCGGGCUCAACCUGGGAACGGCAUCCGGAACUGUCAAGCUAGAGUGCAGGAGAGGAAGGUAGAAUUCCCGGUGUAGCGGUGAAAUGCGUAGAGGUCGGGAGGAAUACCAGUGGCGAAGGCGGCCUUCUGGACUGACACUGACACUGAGGUGCGAAAGCGUGGGUAGCAAACAGGAUUAGAUACCCGAGUAGUC